GUCUGUUUGAUAAUACUAACAGUCUGGCCUGCCCGCUGAUUUAUUUAAAAGGCCGCGGUAUAAUGACCGUGCGAAGGUAGCAUAAUAAUUAGUCUUUUAAUUGAAGACUGGAAUGAACGGUCGGACAAAAAGUAAUCUGUCUCGAACUUAAAAAUUGAAAUUAACCUUUAAGUGAAAAGGCUUAAAUAACCUUAAAAGACGACAAGACCCUAUAAAACUUCAUAUAAUCUAAGUAUAGUUCUUAAUUUAAAAGUAUAACAAGAACUAUAAUUUGUUGUAUUUCGUUGGGGCGACGAAAGUAUAAUUCUUAACUGCUUUAAUAUCAAAACAAUCAUAUUUGAUGACUUGACCCUCUGUAGAGAUCAAAAGAAAAAGUUACUUUAGGGAUAACAGCGUUAUUUUUUUUAAGAGUCCAUAUCGACAAAAAAGCUUGCGACCUCGAUGUUGAAUUAAAGUUCCAUUAUAGUGCAGCAAUUAUAAAGGUAGGUCUGUUCGACCUUUAAAACUUUACAUGAUUUGAGUUCAAACCGGUGUGAG
rnacentral:rRNA from 1 species